AUGCCGACGGCCAUCCGCAAGCGCCCGGCGGCGGGACAAGAACCGCGCGUCCAUGGCGGCAAGAGGCCCCGAUACGCGUUCGGGAGCAUCACCGACUACGAGAAGCUUGAGGUGCUCGGAGAAGGCACCUAUGGCGAGGUGUUCAAGGCGCGCGACCGCCGCACCGGCAAGAAGGUCGCCGUGAAGUGGGUCCGUGGCAACGGGGCCGGCGGACACGGCCCGCCCGACAUCCGCGCGAUCACCCGCGAGGCCGGCUGCCUCGGCGCGUGUCGGGGUCACGAGUCUAUUAUCGAGAUCUUGGAUGUGGCGACGGAUGCCGAGACAGGGGACGUGUUCCUCGUCAUGGAGCUCGUUGCCGACGGCCGCACCCUCCGCGAGUCGCGCUGGAGGCCUGUAUCCGAGGACGUGACCCGCGUGAUGAUGGAGCAGCUCCUGGAUGCGGCAAAGAAGAUACAUGGAGCCGGCAUCAUCCAUCGGGACUUCAAGCCGGAGAACGUCAUGGUCGGCUUCUUCGGCGGGCUCAAGGGCCAGGCCGUGGACAUGUGGGCGCUUGGGUGCAUCAUGGCGGAGAUGUUGGCCGGCGGGACCCUCUUCGUGGCGGAGACAGAGGAGGAGCUGCUCGCCGAGAUCUACAAGCUGCGAGACCAGAUCACUUCUACGGGGAAGCUGGAUUUGGAGUUCUUGGAGGAGCUUUCAGAAGCCGGGCAUGAGGUCCUGACCGGCCUGCUUGCCUUCAACCCUGACGAGAGGAUCACGGCGGCAGAAGCGCUCGAGCACCGGUGGUUCAGCAAGCCCAAGGCAGCAGAGCACCCUGGCUUUGUGACGUUGAUGAGUUAA
rnacentral:rRNA from 1 species